UACAGAGGGUGCAAGCGUUAAUCGGAUUUACUGGGCGUAAAGCGCGCGUAGGUGGCCAAUUAAGUCAAAUGUGAAAUCCCCGAGCUUAACUUGGGAAUUGCAUUCGAUACUGGUUGGCUAGAGUAUGGGAGAGGAUGGUAGAAUUCCAGGUGUAGCGGUGAAAUGCGUAGAGAUCUGGAGGAAUACCGAUGGCGAAGGCAGCCAUCUGGCCUAAUACUGACACUGAGAUGCGAAAGCAUGGGGAGCAAACAGG
rnacentral:rRNA from 1 species